rnacentral:rRNA from 1 species
GAUGAACGCUGGCGGCGUGCUUAACACAUGCAAGUCGAACGGUGAAGCAGAGCUUGCUCUGUGCAUCAGUGGCGAACGGGUGAGUAACACGUGAGCAACCAGCCUCUCACUCUGGGAUAGGCGCUUGAAACGGCGUCUAAUACAUGAUAUGAGCUGUGACCACAUGGUCAGCAGUUUGAAAGAUUUCGCUGUCUGGGAUGGUCUUACGGCCUAUCAGCUUGUUUGUGAGGGAAUGGCUCCCCAAGGCGUCGACGGGUAGCCGGCCUGAGAGGGGGACCGGGCACAAUGGGCCUGCGACACGGACCAGAAUCCUACGGGAGGCAGCAGUCGGGAGUCUUGCACAGCGGGGGCGCGCCUGAUGCAGCAGCGCCGCGUGAGGGAUGACGGCUUUCGGGUUGUAAACAUCUUUUAGAAGGGCAGAAGCCAACGUGACGGUACCUGCAGAGAAAGCGCCGGCUAACUACGUG